GGGCCCAAGAGAGGACCCCAAGUGGGCACAGGCCUCCUGGUGAAAUGCCACCCAAGUUUCAAGCUAUGAGAACACAUUCUGUAACCUUAUUUGGUGACUGGGUUUGUGGCUUUUGCAGUAACACCUGGCUUUCCUGUCGCAGAUUAUGAUUAGCCGCGAGGACGGGGAAGGAGCAUCCAGGGAGGUUGUCCGUCUGCCUUUCUGCAGGCAUCUGCAUCCUGCCCCGAGGACUUCAAACAUGCUCAGCAGUCUGUCACUAAGAAACAGACCCAAGGCCCCUCUCCACCUUCUUCUCUUCACAGCCCUGGAGAGGCUGCUGCUCUGAGUCUUUUUCCAGCUCCUCGUUACCUCUCCACCCUCCAUGAGGCACCACUGCCUCGUGGGAGAGACGGGUACAGCACGAAGAGCUCGUACAGCUGCUCUAUGUCCGCUGUGCAUGGAUACAGCCGCGUGAAAUCACACUUAGGACGCCACCAAGGGCCCCCCCAGCCUGGUACCCCUUGCACGGAUUGGUCAGGUAGCGAGUUGUGCCUUGGAAGGAAGGAAGCCUCUAUCUGGGGCUCUAGCCUCUGCACUCCGGAAUACCAAGGAUGCUGGCAGGCUGCCAGGGGCUUCCAACCUAUCGUCCAUCCAGGAUGAAGUUGGAGAUGGAGGCCGCA
rnacentral:lncRNA from 1 species